rnacentral:rRNA from 1 species
UACAGAGGGUGCAAGCGUUAAUCGGAAUUAUUGGGCGUAAAGAGCUCGUAGGCGGUUGGGUAAGUCGGGUGUGAAAACUCCAGGCUCAACUUGGAGACGCCACCCGAUACUGCUCUGACUUGAGUUCGGUAGGGGAGUGGGGAAUUCCUGGUGUAGCGGUGAAAUGCGCAGAUAUCAGGAGGAACACCGGUGGCGAAGGCGCCACUCUGGGCCGAAACUGACGCUGAGGAGCGAAGGCGUGGGUAGCAAACAGG